rnacentral:rRNA from 1 species
GAUGAACGCUGGCGGCGUGCCUAAUACAUGCAAGUCGAGCGAACGGACGAGAAGCUUGCUUCUCUGACGUUAGCGGCGGACGGGUGAGUAACACGUGGAUAACCUACCUAUAAGACUGGGAUAACUUCGGGAAACCGGAGCUAAUACCGGAUAAUAUUUUGAACCGCAUGGUUCAAAAGUGAAAGACGGUCUUGCUGUCACUUAUAGAUGGAUCCGCGCUGCAUUAGCUAGUUGGUAAGGUAACGGCUUACCAAGGCAACGAUGCAUAGCCGACCUGAGAGGGUGAUCGGCCACACUGGAACUGAGACACGGUCCAGACUCCUACGGGAGGCAGCAGUAGGGAAUCUUCCGCAAUGGGCGAAAGCCUGACGGAGCAACGCCGCGUGAGUGAUGAAGGUCUUCGGAUCGUAAAACUCUGUUAUUAGGGAAGAACAUAUGUGUAAGUAACUGUGCACAUCUUGACGGUACCUAAUCAGAAAGCCACGGCUAACUACGUGCCAGCAGCCGCGGUAAUACGUAGGUGGCAAGCGUUAUCCGGAAUUAUUGGGCGUAAAGCGCGCGUAGGCGGUUUUUUAAGUCUGAUGUGAAAGCCCACGGCUCAACCGUGGAGGGUCAUUGGAAACUGGAAAACUUGAGUGCAGAAGAGGAAAGUGGAAUUCCAUGUGUAGCGGUGAAAUGCGCAGAGAUAUGGAGGAACACCAGUGGCGAAGGCGACUUUCUGGUCUGUAACUGACGCUGAUGUGCGAAAGCGUGGGGAUCAAACAGGAUUAGAUACCCUGGUAGUCCACGCCGUAAACGAUGAGUGCUAAGUGUUAGGGGGUUUCCGCCCCUUAGUGCUGCAGCUAACGCAUUAAGCACUCCGCCUGGGGAGUACGACCGCAAGGUUGAAACUCAAAGGAAUUGACGGGGACCCGCACAAGCGGUGGAGCAUGUGGUUUAAUUCGAAGCAACGCGAAGAACCUUACCAAAUCUUGACAUCCUUUGACAACUCUAGAGAUAGAGCCUUCCCCUUCGGGGGACAAAGUGACAGGUGGUGUAUGGUUGUCGUCAGCUCGUGUCGUGAGAUGUUGGGUUAAGUCCCGCAACGAGCGCAACCCUUAAGCUUAGUUGCCAUCAUUAAGUUGGGCACUCUAAGUUGACUGCCGGUGACAAACCGGAGGAAGGUGGGGAUGACGUCAAAUCAUCAUGCCCCUUAUGAUUUGGGCUACACACGUGCUACAAUGGACAAUACAAAGGGCAGCGAAACCGCGAGGUCAAGCAAAUCCCAUAAAGUUGUUCUCAGUUCGGAUUGUAGUCUGCAACUCGACUACAUGAAGCUGGAAUCGCUAGUAAUCGUAGAUCAGCAUGCUACGGUGAAUACGUUCCCGGGUCU